UGGCUCAGAUUGAACGCUGGCGGCAGGCCUAACACAUGCAAGUCGAGCGGUAGCACAGAGAGCUUGCUCUCGGGUGACGAGCGGCGGACGGGUGAGUAAUGUCUGGGAAACUGCCUGAUGGAGGGGGAUAACUACUGGAAACGGUAGCUAAUACCGCAUAAUGUCGCAAGACCAAAGUGGGGGACCUUCGGGCCUCAUGCCAUCAGAUGUGCCCAGAUGGGAUUAGCUAGUAGGUGGGGUAACGGCUCACCUAGGCGACGAUCCCUAGCUGGUCUGAGAGGAUGACCAGCCACACUGGAACUGAGACACGGUCCAGACUCCUACGGGAGGCAGCAGUGGGGAAUAUUGCACAAUGGGCGCAAGCCUGAUGCAGCCAUGCCGCGUGUGUGAAGAAGGCCUUCGGGUUGUAAAGCACUUUCAGCGGGGAGGAAGGCGAUAAGGUUAAUAACCUUGUCGAUUGACGUUACCCGCAGAAGAAGCACCGGCUAACUCCGUGCCAGCAGCCGCGGUAAUACGGAGGGUGCAAGCGUUAAUCGGAAUUACUGGGCGUAAAGCGCACGCAGGCGGUCUGUCAAGUCGGAUGUGAAAUCCCCGGGCUCAACCUGGGAACUGCAUUCGAAACUGGCAGGCUAGAGUCUUGUAGAGGGGGGUAGAAUUCCAGGUGUAGCGGUGAAAUGCGUAGAGAUCUGGAGGAAUACCGGUGGCGAAGGCGGCCCCCUGGACAAAGACUGACGCUCAGGUGCGAAAGCGUGGGGAGCAAACAGGAUUAGAUACCCUGGUAGUCCACGCCGUAAACGAUGUCGAUUUGGAGGUUGUGCCCUUGAGGCGUGGCUUCCGGAGCUAACGCGUUAAAUCGACCGCCUGGGGAGUACGGCCGCAAGGUUAAAACUCAAAUGAAUUGACGGGGGCCCGCACAAGCGGUGGAGCAUGUGGUUUAAUUCGAUGCAACGCGAAGAACCUUACCUGGUCUUGACAUCCACAGAACUUUCCAGAGAUGGAUUGGUGCCUUCGGGAACUGUGAGACAGGUGCUGCAUGGCUGUCGUCAGCUCGUGUUGUGAAAUGUUGGGUUAAGUCCCGCAACGAGCGCAACCCUUAUCCUUUGUUGCCAGCGGUUAGGCCGGGAACUCAAAGGAGACUGCCAGUGAUAAACUGGAGGAAGGUGGGGAUGACGUCAAGUCAUCAUGGCCCUUACGACCAGGGCUACACACGUGCUACAAUGGCAUAUACAAAGAGAAGCGACCUCGCGAGAGCAAGCGGACCUCAUAAAGUAUGUCGUAGUCCGGAUUGGAGUCUGCAACUCGACUCCAUGAAGUCGGAAUCGCUAGUAAUCGUAGAUCAGAAUGCUACGGUGAAUACGUUCCCGGGCCUUGUACACACCGCCCGUCACACCAUGGGAGUGGGUUGCAAAAGAAGUAGGUAGCUUAACCUUCGGGAGGGCGCUUACCACUUUGUGAUUCAUGACUGG
rnacentral:rRNA from 1 species